UGCCUGGCGGCACUAGCGCGGUGGUCCCACCUGACCCCAUGCCGAACUCAGAAGUGAAACGCCGUAGCGCCGAUGGUAGUGUGGGGUCUCCCCAUGUGAGAGUAGGGAACUGCCAGGCAU
rnacentral:rRNA from 23 species